UAAAAGCAAACCGCCUGAAAGGGCGGGACGCAAAGCCAGGGGGCUAAGGCGGAAACGCUAAGCCGGCCCAGCCGCCA
rnacentral:ncRNA from 1 species